CACGUAGGGAGCAAGCGUUGUCCGGAUUUACUGGGCGUAAAGAGCGCGCAGGCGGUCGUUCAAGUCGCGUGUGAAAGCCCCCGGCUCAACUGGGGAGGGUCACGCGAUACUGAUCGACUCGAAGGCAGGAGAGGGUAGUGGAAUUCCCGGUGUAGUGGUGAAAUGCGUAGAUAUCCGGAGGAACACCGGUGGCGAAGGCGGCUUCCUGGACCGACACUGACGGCUGAGGCGCGAAAGCUAGGGGAGCAAACGGG
rnacentral:rRNA from 1 species